GCGCGUGAGUGAAGAAGCCUUCGGGUAGUAAAGCUCUCUUUGUCACGGCAAGAAACACCGGCUCUAACACAGUCCCGGGAAUUGACGGUACCUCGAACGAAUAUAGCACCUGGUCUAUACUACAGUCGCCACGCAAGCCAGCAGGAUAAAUACAGAUAGAGGUUGCAGAUGCAGUUCAAAUCAGGAAACUUACAUCGGUGCCGUAAAAAGCUGUGCAGCAUGAGCAGAGUUAAUACAAUAGACAUGAGCAGUCGACAAAUCACCCAGAGAGCAUAUAAACCAUAGAGGAANUAGGCUGCCAUAGUAGACAUAGUAAUAGGACUACGACGUAGUAGUACAAGACGUGCGGGAGUACGAACUUCACAACGUCGUACGCACGUAGAAAAUGCCGUAAGACUAUAGUAGGACGGAAAUACCCAAAUAGGCAGAACGGCAAGCCCCACUGGAGAUAAACACAUGGACGCUCAAUGCACAGAAACGCGUAGGGGAGCAAACCAGGAUUAAGAUACCCUAGGUAGUCCACACACCUACAACGAUGCUGACUAGUUGUACACGGAUUUACAUCC
rnacentral:rRNA from 1 species